rnacentral:rRNA from 1 species
AUUGGACGCUGGCGGCAUGCCUUACACAUGCAAGUCGAACGGUAACGCGGGGCAACCUGGCGACGAGUGGCGAACGGGUGAGUAAAGCAUCGGAACGUGCCCAGUAGUGGGGGAUAGCCCGGCGAAAGCCGGAUUAAUACCGCAUACGACCUAUGGGUGAAAGGGGGGGAUCGCAAGACCUCUCGCUAUUGGAGCGGCCGAUGUCAGAUUAGGUAGUUGGUGGGGUAAAGGCCUACCAAGCCGACGAUCUGUAGCUGGUCUGAGAGGACGACCAGCCACACUGGGACUGAGACACGGCCCAGACUCCUACGGGAGGCAGCAGUGGGGAAUUUUGGACAAUGGGCGCAAGCCUGAUCCAGCCAUGCCGCGUGCGGGAAGAAGGCCUUCGGGUUGUAAACCGCUUUUGUCAGGGAAGAAAUCCUUUGGGUUAAUACCUCGGGGGGAUGACGGUACCUGAAGAAUAAGCACCGGCUAACUACGUGCCAGCCGCCGCAGUAACAC